rnacentral:misc_RNA from 1 species
UCCUUGUUUCCAAGGCAGUCCCACUAAAGUGCUCAACUAAAUGUAGCAACUAGUGGCAGGGGUUGCGCUCGUUAAAGGACUUAACCCAACAUCUCACGACACGAGCUGACGACAGCCAUGCAGCACCUGUUAAAGUGUCUAGGUUUCCCUAGAAGACGCUAUCUCUAGCGCUGUCACUAAAAUGUCAAGCCUGGGUAAGGUUACUCGCGUAGUGUCGAAUUAAACCACAUGUUCCACCGCUUGUGCGGACCCCCGUCAAUUUCUUUGAGUUUUAAUCUUGCGAUCGUACUACUCAGGCGGAUCACUUAACGCGUUAGCUUCGACACUGAUUUUCCGAAGAAAGCCAACAUCUAGUGAUCAUCGUUUACAGCGUGGACUAC